UACGUAGGGUGCAAGCGUUAAUCGGAAUUACUGGGCGUAAAGCGUGCGCAGGCGGUUGUGCAAGACAGAUGUGAAAUCCCCGGGCUUAACCUGGGAACUGCAUUUGUGACUGCACGGCUAGAGUGCGGCAGAGGGGGAUGGAAUUCCGCGUGUAGCAGUGAAAUGCGUAGAUAUCUGGAGGAACACCGGUGGCGAAGGCGACAUCCUGGACCGGUAUUGACGCUGAGGCGCGAAAGCCAGGGGAGCAAACGGG
rnacentral:rRNA from 1 species